rfam:Triticum urartu cultivar G1812 contig150377, whole genome shotgun sequence.
CAACUACUCCCUCUGUCCCAAAUUUCUUGUCUUAGAUUUGUCUAGAUACGGAUGUAUCUAAUACUAAAAUGUGACUUGAUACAUCCGUAUCUAGACAAACUAAGACAAGAAUUUUGGGACGGAGGGAGUACUUU